AGCAGCCGCGGUAAUUCCAGCUCCAAUAGCGUAUAUUAAAGUUGUUGCAGUUAAAAAGCUCGUAGUUGAAUUUCGGGGUUCUACCGUUGGUCGGGCUAACCAGUCUGUACUAGCGUGUAGAAUUCCUACCUUCUGGGGAACCAUCAUGUUAUUAAUUUAGCGUGGUGGGAAACCAGGACCUUUACCUUGAAAAAAUUAGAGUGUUCAAAGCAGGCUUACGUCUGAAUACAUUAGCAUGGAAUAAUAGAAUAGGACGGUGGUCCUGUUUUGUUGGUUUCUGAAUUACCGUAAUGAUUAAUAGGGAUAGUUGGGGGCAUUAGUAUUCAAUUGUCAGAGGUGAAAUUCUUGGAUUUAUUGAAGACUAACUUCUGCGAAAGCAUUUGCCAAGGAUGUUUUCAUUAAUCAAGAACGAAAGUUAGGGGAUCGAAGACGAUCAGAUACCGUCGUAGUCUUAACCAUAAACUAUGCCGACUAGGGAUCGGACGAUGUUAAAUUUAUUGACUCGUUCGCGCCUUACGGG
rnacentral:rRNA from 1 species